rnacentral:rRNA from 1 species
AUGAACGCUAGCGGGAGGCCUAACACAUGCAAGCCGAGCGGUAUUGUUUCUUCGGAAAUGAGAGAGCGGCGUACGGGUGCGGAACACGUGUGCAACCUGCCUUUAUCUGGGGGAUAGCCUUUCGAAGGGAAGAUUAAUACUCCAUAAUAUAUUGAACGGCAUCGUUUAAUAUUGAAAGCUCCGGCGGAUAGAGAUGGGCACGCGCAAGAUUAGCUAGUUGGUGAGGUAACGGCUCACCAAGGCGAUGAUCUUUAGGGG